rnacentral:rRNA from 1 species
GUCCACGCUGUAAACGAUGAAUACUAGAUAUUGCAGACUUUGACCUCUGCAGUGUCGCAGCUAACGCGUUAAGUAUUCCGCCUGGGAAGUACGGUCGCAAGACUAAAACUCAAAGGAAUUGACGGGGGCCCGCACAAGCGGUGGAUUAUGUGGUUUAAUUCGAAGCAACGCGCAGAACCUUACCACCUUUUGACAUGCCUGGACCGCCACAGAGAUGUGGUUUUCCCUUCGGGGACUAGGACACAGGUGCUGCAUGGCUGUCGU